AUGAGGAGUGCUUGGAAGCUUUCAUGAAGCUCUGGCUGACAGCAGCAACCAACUGUACCAACCAGACACCAACUAUUACCAAAGAAUGGAAAGGAAGAAUCUGGGUCUGCUCCCUGCAGUAACUGAAUUUCUGCAUUUUUAAUGAAUUACUGUCUUGCCAGCUGCUACCCAAGAAACAUGGCUAUGUAUGCCUGAGGUGACCAGCCUUUCCUAGUGUCCUUUUGGAAGCAUCAUGCCUCAGUAAAUGGGAUUUCACAUGUAGUAAAGGCAAGGUGAACAUAUAUCCUCCACUGCUGUACCAGCCCAUGGAUCCCCAGUACCACAGGGAUAAUGAGGAGCCUGAG